rnacentral:tRNA from 1 species
GCCGGAGUAGCUCAGUUGGUAGAGCACGUCAUUCGUAAUGAUGGGGUCGCAGGUUCGAUUCCUGUCUCCGGCACCA